GUCGGUAAAACUCGUGCCAGCCGCCGCGGUUAUACGAGAGGCCCAAGUUGAUAGUCAACGGCGUAAAGUGUGGUUAGAAAGAACUUAAUACUAAAGCCGAACGCCUUCAAGGCUGUUAUACGCACACCGAAGGUGAGAAGCCCACCCACGAAAGUGGCUUUAUAACUUUGAAUCCACGAAAGCUAUGAAACAAACUGGGAUUAGAUACCCCACUAUG
rnacentral:rRNA from 1 species